UACGUAGGGUGCGAGCGUUGUCCGGAAUUAUUGGGCGUAAAGGGCUCGUAGGCGGUUUGUCGCGUCGGGAGUGAAAACCAGGUGCUUAACACCUGGCUUGCUUUCGAUACGGGCAGACUAGAGGUAUGCAGGGGAGAACGGAAUUCCUGGUGUAGCGGUGGAAUGCGCAGAUAUCAGGAGGAACACCGAUGGCGAAGGCAGUUCUCUGGGCCGUAACUGACGCUGAGGAGCGAAAGCGUGGGGAGCGAACAGG
rnacentral:rRNA from 1 species